AUAACAGCUAAUUAGUCAAUAACAGUUAACAGCACACAUAUCUUCAAAAUAACAGUUAACAAAAGUUUUAAAAUGCCUAAAACACCUCAACAGAACAGAUUUUGCACCCCCUCUCAAAAAUCAAAUUAAAAAACAGACUCAACUUUUAUUCAUAUGAUAUAUCCACCAAAUAUAUGCUAGGUGAAUUUUCUAUCAAUUAUACAAAUUUUCUGCAUCAAUGAUCUUGGAUAUUUGCCACUUUUUACAAAAAAAUAUACAGACACAGAACCAGGACCGUUUUUCUAAUCACCAGCACAUCGUCAGGACAAUUUCGUUUGGCGAAUUUGCACGACUUUUGCAAUAAGAACUCGUUGUAAUAUUCCUCACAUGGAACUAAGUACGUAUCAGAGAAAAAUU
rnacentral:lncRNA from 1 species